rnacentral:rRNA from 1 species
AGAGUUUGAUCCUGGCUCAGGACGAACGCUGGCGGCACGCCUAACACAUGCAAGUCGAACGGAGAUGAUUUGAGUUUACUUAGAUCAUCUUAGCGGCGGACGGGUGAGUAACACGUGAGCAACCUGCCUUUGAGAGAGGGAUAGCUUCUGGAAACGGAUGGUAAUACCUCAUAACAUACAGAUACCGCAUGGUGACUGUAUCAAAGAUUUAUCACUCAAAGAUGGGCUCGCGUCUGAUUAGAUAGUUGGUGAGGUAACGGCUCACCAAGUCGACGAUCAGUAGCCGGACUGAGAGGUUGAACGGCCACAUUGGGACUGAGACACGGCCCAGACUCCUACGGGAGGCAGCAGUGGGGAAUAUUGCACAAUGGGGGAAACCCUGAUGCAGCGAUGCCGCGUGGAGGAAGAAGGUUUUCGGAUUGUAAACUCCUGUCUUAAAGGACGAUAAUGACGGUACUUUAGGAGGAAGCUCCGGCUAACUACGUGCCAGCAGCCGCGGUAAUACGUAGGGAGCGAGCGUUGUCCGGAAUUACUGGGUGUAAAGGGAGCGUAGGCGGGACGGCAAGUCAGAUGUGAAAUACAUGGGCUCAACCCAUGGGCUGCAUUUGAAACUGCUGUUCUUGAGUGAAGUAGAGGUAAGCGGAAUUCCUGGUGUAGCGGUGAAAUGCGUAGAUAUCAGGAGGAACACCGGUGGCGAAGGCGGCUUACUGGGCUUUUACUGACGCUGAGGCACGAAAGCGUGGGGAGCAAAUAGGAUUAGAUACCCUAGUAGUCCACGCCGUAAACGAUGAGAACUAGGUGUUGGGGGAAUAACUCAGUGCCGCAGUUAACGCAGUAAGUUCUCCGCCUGGGGAGUAUGCACGCAAGUGUGAAACUCAAAGGAAUUGACGGGGGCCCGCACAAGCGGUGGAGUAUGUGGUUUAAUUCGAAGCAACGCGAAGAACCUUACCAGGCCUUGACAUCCCUUGCAGAGGUAUAGAGAUAUAUCCGAGGUUAUCAAGGAGACAGGUGGUGCAUGGUUGUCGUCAGCUCGUGUCGUGAGGUGUUGGGUUAAGUCCCGCAACGAGCGCAACCCUUGUGAUAUGUUACUAACAUUGAGUUGAGGACUCAUAUCAGACUGCCGGUGAUAAACCGGAGGAAGGUGGGGAUGACGUCAAAUCAUCAUGCCCCUUAUGGCCUGGGCUACACACGUACUACAAUGGCGUCUACAAAGAGCGGCAAGCCUGUGAAGGCAAGCGAAUCUCAUAAAGGACGUCUCAGUUCGGAUUGAAGUCUGCAACCCGACUUCAUGAAGCUGGAAUCGCUAGUAAUCGCGAAUCAGCAUGUCGCGGUGAAUACGUUCUCGGGCCUUGUACACACCGCCCGUCAAACCAUGGGAGUUGGUAAUGCCCGAAGCCGGUGGCAUAACCCUUCGGGGAGUGAGCCGUCGAAGGCAGGACCGAUGACUGGGGUUAAGUCGUAACAAGGUA